AUUGAACGCUGGCGGCAGGCCUAACACAUGCAAGUCGAACGAGUGGCGGACGGGUGAGUAAUGUCUGGGAAACUGCCUGAUGGAGGGGGAUAACUACUGGAAACGGUAGCUAAUACCUCAUACCAUCAGAUGUGCCCAGAUGGGCUUAGCUUGUUGGUGGGGUAACGGCUCACCAGGGCGACGAUCCCUAGCUGGGUUGAGAGGAUGACCAGCCACACUGCAACUUAGACACGGUCCAGACUCCUACGGGAGUCAGCAGUGGGGAAUAGUGCGCAAUGGGCGCAAGCGUGAUGGAGCCAUGCCGCGUGUAUGAAGAAGGCCUGAGGGUUGUAAAGUACUUUCAGCGGGGAGGCGUUACCCGCAGAAGAAGCACCGGCUAACUCCGUGCCAGCAGCCGCGGUAAUAC
rnacentral:rRNA from 1 species